rnacentral:rRNA from 1 species
CAACGGCACCACGAGGGUUGUACUGUCUCCUUUUUCUAAUCAGUGAAACUAAUCUCCCCGUGAAGAAGCGGGGAUACUACUAUAAGACGAGAAGACCCCAUGGAGCUUUAAACCCAACUACACCCCUAUUUACAACAACUACUUAACCAAUUGGACACUGUAUGCUUGGUUUUAGGUUGGGGCGACCACGGAGUAAAAAAUAACCUCCACGAUAAAUGGGCUUACCCCCUUAUCUAAGAGCCACACCUCUAAGAAUUAAAAUAUUAAUAUAAUAUGAUCCUUUCUUGAUCAACGG